AAUUAAAAAAAACGAAAAAAAAAUAAAAACUUUAAAACCGAGCAUAUAUAUGUUUGUCUUUUUGAAAAAAAAUAUCGAAAAAUUAAAACUAAACUAAAAUAAAUAAAUAAAUAAAAACCAAAAAAACGAAAAUAAAUAAUAAAACUUAUUUAAAUGAUGUUCCAUAGACGUUCGCCGCACGUGAUUAUUCCCUCAAAGUCGUAUUACGUUCCAUGGACAUGCGUUGCGUGCAAACACAUCACGACCAAGUAAAUGAGUUUGACGUUUGUGCACUUGUCGAAAUGAUUGGUGAAGAAUAAUCAUCGCGGCUUGUAAAAUCCCAAUGAUCAAGACCAAAAUUUUCAUUUUAAUUUAUUAAAUAGAACCAUAGUUAUCAAAAUCUUCUCAUCAAAAUGUAUAUCAUAGUAUCUCAAACAUCAUAUCAAAAACUCAUAUCAAUAUAUCAGAGUAAAAACAUCCCAGUCUAACAUAAUGGUGUCUGCACUAUAGUUAUCCCGAGCUCUUCUCUUUGCUACCGGAAGUACCUGAAACCAAAACUCAAAACUGUAAGCACGAAGCUUAGUGAGUCUCCCCAAACUACCACAUACCACACACAUAAUCACAUAAUAACAUAUCAUAAGCCCCAACCGCUUCAUCGAGCCCCGCCCGGCAUCAAGAAAAGCUCGGUAUACAUAUAAACAUAUUAACAAAUACACAUAAAUAAUCACCUAACAUAAACAUAUAAACAUUAAUCGUGCCCCGCCCGGCACCGAGCAAAGCUCGGUAUACAUAUAAACAUAUCAACAAAUACACAUAAAUAAUCACAUAACAUAAACAUAUAAACAUUCCUCGGACCCUGCCCGACAUCGGACCGAAAUCCGGAAGCAUACAAACAUUCCUUGGGCAUUGCCCAACAUCGGACCGUGAUCCGGAAACAUACAAAAUAGACACAUGCAAGAAUCACGAAGAAAUCAAGCAUACAAACAUUCCUCGGGCACCGCCUGACGUCGGAUCGAAACCUAGAAACCAGGGAUGUCAAAAAGUCCCGUGGGACCCCCGUCCUGUUUGGGGGAAUUUUUUAAAAAAAUUAAGGGCGGAGAUGGGGUCGGAGGCAAGGUUAACCCCCAUUUUAAUUUCGGGGGCGGGAGCGGGGGUAGGCAAUCCCGUCCCGAAACCCCCAUGGGGACCCCGUUAAUAAAUUACACAUAUAUAUUUACAUAUAUUAAUUAUAUAAAUAUAAUAAACGAUAACAUGAUUUUGAGCUUCCAAAAUUCAUCAAAAAAACAUGUUUUUAAGUUGUUAGUAUAUUGAUUCUAAGAUGUCAUAACUUUUUUAUUUUUAACAUGUAAAAUUUUGCUAUAAAUAAUUAUUCGUUACCUAAAAAAUAGCUUCUUUUAGCCUAAAUAAAAAUUUCUUUUAGCCCAAAAAAAGGAAGCCUAAAAUCAAUAGGGGGCGGGGGGUAAUAAAGGGGAUUCGGGGGCGGGGAUUGCACUCCCCGUCCUGUUUGUCCCCGUUAACAUCCCUACCGGAAACAUAUAAACCUACAUCGGACAUUGCCCGACAUCGGACCUUAGCCCGGAACAUACUAGCAUACAUAUACGGGCCGAAAUUGGUGCCUUCGGCCCGUUAUAUAGGAGGAAACUCUCCUCACACUGUUGAAGUCCCGCGAAUAAAUAUCUGGUUGCUGGCUGACAGAUCCCCUAACUGUCAACAUCAAAACAAUACCCAAUUAACCAUUUGGGUUUCAAUGCAUAACCAUAGACCCACACUUGAGGUAAAAGGAUCAUUUUACCCCUAACCUAGCUUGGUCCAAGACCAAGGCCCAACCUCAUACUCUGAAGGCCCAACAACCAAGGCCCAAUUAUGGCCCAAUUUUCCAAAUUAGGCCCAAACCCCUCACAUGGGCCUUACCCCAAAGCCCAUCCAAAUAUUCUAGUCCAUAUACUUGUUCUUGGAUGGCCCAUCAAUAGCCCAAUCACCAAAGCCCAACAGAAAGGCCCAAGCAAAAUUAGGGUUUUCACAUAAAAUGACGAUUUGGGUUAAGUGUUCUUACUUAACCAUUAAGGAAUUAAUCCAUUAAGUCCAUUACUCUACUAGGCCAACAUACAAUGUAAUCAGGCUUAAUUCAUAACUUCAAUCCAAUGGUCCAAAACACGGGUCCUGACAAAUCCAAAACUAACAUCUCCAAAAUUAGGGUUUUCUAAACCCUAAUUAGGGUUUCCACCCAAACACAAGUCAAUUAGUCCAAUGAUUAGGUUUUUAGGUCCAUUAGGGUUUCAUUAGGUCGAGCACCACCCACUGCCACCUCGGGUGGUGGUGGUCGACGGCGGAACACGGCGGCAACCACCACCUCAUGGCAGCGGUGGUGGUUUUUCCUUCAAUCCUUCCACCAAAAAUACUUAAACAAGUCCCAUUCUACUAAACACACUCACAACACCAUAACAUACACACAACCACCACCAUACGACGGCUGGUGGUGGGUUUUCCGGCCAAAUAUGGCUCAUACAACAACACAACCACCGAUAGCAACAUAUACAUUCGAAUGUACAUUCACCCAGCCACCUCGUAGAAGGUUGAGGUCGCCGGAAUUGACUACCACAACAACCCAAAUGCCACCGGCGCCAGCAAUGGCAUACAAGACGUCAAACACCGAGAGGGACGACAGAGAGAAGAGAGAGGUGGCGGUUAGGCUUACCGAAAAUUUCUUGGUUGCUCAUGUCCUACAACUUGCCGAUCAUAGCUCAAGGCUUCGGUCUUGGUGCUCUUCCGACUGCCAGUGACGUCCGACAGCGGGGUUAUGGAUGGCAGCGCUCGACGACGAGGUAGCAGCAAACAUGGUGGUGCUCGGACUCGGCUUGUAGGCGGCGCUGAGAAGGCUUCCAAGGUGGUGACGGGUGUAGAGAAUACGCUAGGGUUAGGGUUUCUCGAUGAUACCUCUUCAAACGGGAAGGGAAGGAACGAGUUUAAGUCCUAUGUUCUUCUAUCAAACUUUAACUCAUAUUUUACACUUUUGGUCCCUCCACCAUAAAGAUUUUCCAACUUAAGUCUAGAAUUUACCCUUUAGUCCCUGCUUCCAAAAAUCCUUUCAUAAUAAGUCCAAAAAUUACCAAUCAUGCCCUGACUUCUAAAAUCCUUUUCAAAUUAAAUCCAUAAUUUACCAAACCGCCCUCAACCUUUAAAAUUCUUUACAAACUAGUUCGAAAAUUACUCUGUUAACCCCCAAAGUCCAAAUUAUAUCAUUUAACCCCCGAAACCAACGUCUUGCUAAAUUGUUCUGAAUUUAGGGCUACUAUUCAUGUAUUAAUUUUAUUUAUUUAAUAAAAAAAUGUUACAAUUCUCCCCCACUUAAAUUAGAUUUCGCCCUUGAAAUCAUUCCUUACCAUUCCUGUCACGCCAAACAACUUGAGCGACAUGGCCACAAUCCCGAGCAUACCACAGCCUUCACAAAGUGACCGAAACCAACCUUCACAGGGUUCUAAAACCCGAAUAUGAAUUAAUUCCUUGCAUCAUGAUCACAUUUACCCAAUUUGAAAUCCAAAGUCUCGAUAUGGUCUGACUCCCUGACAGAUCGCCCAUAUAUAGUCAUUAUUGUUGAAUCCCUACAGAACACUGAUCUCAUUAUUGGCAAGUUUUCCGAAAUUUCAACUCACACUAUCCUCAAUCCAUACAGCCACUUGGGCUGUCUUCCUUCCUAACAAGGAUGCGAAAUUUAUCCCAGUUUCAAAACUGCUCCUACUUUUGAAUCCCUGGACGAUUCUCCCCCACUUAGAUUCGACUAAGUCUUCACAAUACGUGAAAAUUGAAGAAUCUUUGGACGAAUCCCUGACAGACCGCACAUAUAUAAUCAUUAUUGUUGAAUCCUUGCAGAACACUUAUACUUGACAGUAGGCUCAGAUAAUCCUUUGAGUAGGAGACUCAUCCCUGCAACGGUUAGACUCAGACGAGAGCUGUACAACAGGGUGAAAUCAAUUACUAUGAGAUUAUUCAAUCCCGCUGUGAGUGACUUAGCAUUACCCAAGCAAUCAGUUACCCAUCCAUACCUGAAAUCCUAAAAACCAAUACUGCCAAGCAUAUCUGGGUGGUGGCCUUCCCUUUCGGUCUAUUUCAACUGGAUACUGCCAAGCAUAUAUAGGUGUUGGCCUGCCCUUCAGUCUAUUUGAACUGGAUACUGUCGAGCAUAUCUGGGUGCUGGCCUCCCCUUCGGUCUAUUUCAACUGGAUACUAUCGAGCAUAUCUGGGUGCUGGGCUCUUCCAUGAUCCUACGAACUGACCUACCUGAGCCUAACUUAUCUGAAUGAACAUAUGAAUUCUUACGGCUUAUUCCGUAGUCUAACAACACUUUCUCACACUAUCUGACCACAUGAAGAAUGCUACGACUAUCCUGCAGUCUUACAUCACUUCCCACACUAUCUGGCUGCUAGUGAAUGCCACGGCUAUCCCGCAAUCUUACAACAUUUUCCACGCUGUCUCAAUCGCUGAUCGUAAUACCAAUCCGAACACAUCCAACAUCGAGCACACACACGAUCUAACAUCUUAAACCGAACUCAUGUCCUGACUGGAAUCCCUAACCUGAUUCCCUAAAGCCUAGUAUCAAACAUUCUAAGAGCGUGAUCUCAUUAUUGGCAAGUUUUCCGAACUUCCAACUCACAGUAUCCUUAAUCCAUAUAGCCGAUUGGGCUGUCUUCCUUCUUGACAAGGAUGUGAAACUUAUCCCAGUUUCAAAAUUGCUUAUGCUUCUAAAUCCUUGGACGAUUCUCCCCCAUGUAGAUUUAACUAAGUCUUCACAAUACGUGAAAAUUGAAAAUUUCCAAAUCCUUCUCACUUUCCAACGAUCGAUCCGAUGAUAACCAGGUCUUACCAACUAGUGCUCCAUUACUAGCAAAUCCCUAAAAGACCACACAACUUCUGAAUACUAGAUGAACACUUCCCAAAUCCCAGCGAAACUGAUAGCCCUUGAUGCUUGAAAUGAUACCACACUGGAAUCUUGAAGACCAAAAGACAGAUGCUCCAACCAAUACCUCCGCAACGAGCCACUUCCCUUGGCACUUCCAUUAGAUAAUCAAUAACAGUUACUAAAACCAACGAAUUCAAACGAUGUUGAAUAACCAUCCCGCGGAACCCUGAUCAUAGACCUUCCACAUAAUACCCCUGAACUGAUCUCGACCAUACACUAAGAUAAUACUGAACACUCCCAACCCGCAAAUAGGGAAAUAACCUUUCUCUAACCACUAAUAAUUCACGGCAUGCAAAUGGCAUAUGACAUCACUUGAAUACAUAACCCAAACACAAGUAGAGAAACAAACCCAGGGAUACACUUACCCAUCCCUUGGAACGAAAAACUCCAUCGUGUAGUUUCCCGCAAGUGUUGCACUAAAUCCGGCCCUACUGGCCUCUCAAAAGCUGAUCUGAAAUCUUGGAUCUCUUCCCGGGACCUUCCAAUAUAUGCACUUGAUCUAGUCUCCUCUUCCCAAUGUUCUCCAAAUCAAUCUCUCACUCUCGGGCUCUAGAAAUCAUAUCAUUUAGGGUCUCGCACCCCGAGAUACUCGCGAUCUCCCUGACAUCAUUCCGUUGUAUAUCAUAAUACAUUACCUUCUUCAUUUCCUCAUUUGCUACAUACCGCGAUACCAAAUAAGCUCUCUCUUGAGGCUUGGCAUUAAUAUCUGCCACAGCCUCAGUAGUUUGACGGAGAUCCAACAACUCUUGCGCCUCACUCGCAGGGGCAACUUCGCCCGAAAUCUGGUCGGAAAGUCAUCCCAUGACAUAGCAUUAACUUCUUCAUCACCCAACUCACUACCAACCUCUUCCCACCAAUCACUUGCCCUGUCCUUCAGGAGGCAGGAAGCAAGUUGGACCUUGUCCCCUUCGGGACUACGACUGGUACAAAAAGCGUUGGCAACAUUUGCUAACCAUCUGCUACUAGCAAUGGGGUCCUUAGCCCCAUGAUAAUCUGGAGCUCCACAAGCUCUGAACUCCUGAAACGUCAACAUAGACCUCCCCAUCAUGGUCACCAUUUCGGUGCAUAAUGCACCCAACCUCUCAUCACAAAUCUCCAAAAUGCCCUCCUUGACUGUAUCGAAGAUCACAGGAUUCUGGUCAAUGAUAUUGUGCGUAAUCUCAGAUGAGGUGGAUUCCCUCAUCUAACCUGCUAACCAUCAGGCUGCCCGGCUCUAGAGUCCGAGCCUGAUCCCUCGCCGGCACCAGAACUACCAUAUGGUCUACCACGUAGCGUCACCAUACUCAGAAAUAUACCACAACAACCAUCAAAAUACUCAUCAUAACUCAAUGGAUCUCACGCACUACAAGUUCUAUGGGUUUAUCUCAACCUUCCUUGAUUCGGGUAUGGAUCCUCUGCUUUCAGUAGUAUGGGCCUAUACUACCUUCCACAUCUAUCCGUAAUUUCCUCAAGAACUGCCUUGACUCCACCAAGUCCCUUUCACUACUACUGCUUUCCGCGCUAAUCUCAUCAUAGGCUUUCCUUAGGGUAAUCUUCGUCCCACUCUCCACCAUCAGCUGCGUAAAAAGUCCCUGAUACCUUUCCCUAACUAGCUCGCGAAUACCAUUACAUAUUACUAAGACCAAAUAAUUCUUUGAAUGAGAGGUCUCUACCUACAACGGUUAGACUCAAACGAGAGUUACCAAAUAGGGCUAAACCUAACCUUCUGAAAUUAUUUAGUCCUCAUAAUAUGUAACUUAUCAUAUUCGUUUACUAGUUAGUUAAAGAUAUCUAGAACUCCUAAAAGUACAAAGCAAGCAGUAUUCGAGCAUUGAGUAACCCAAACCCAUCAUAUCUUAAUCAUGCCAUCAUAUCACUAACUAAUCAGUACUAGCAUGCAGUUCAAUAAGCUCGUACAAUGGGCAUUCAAGACAUCAUUCCUAGAUCCUUAGCCCAAAUCUAACAUGCAGUUCUCAUAAUCAUAUCAUAUCAUAACAAACGUGUAUGGUUAAUUUGGGAGAACUUACUUGAGCUGGGAUGAUUGCAUGCACCACACCCUUUUCUCUUUUUGAAAUCCCUUUUAUAGAAAUGAUUUUCUUUUGAAAAUUUUCAUACCAAGUCCUCGGUUUGAGUUCAGACACACCCGAGAGUGUGCCCGAAUCCCUCAUACCAAGGCUCUGAUACCAACUUGUAACAUCCCAAUAAUCAAGACCAAAAAUUUCAUUUUAAUUUAUUAAAUAAAAUCAUAGUUAUCAAAAUCUUCUCAUCAAAAUGUAUACAUAGUAUCUCAAACAUCAUAGCAAAAUCUCAUAUCAAUAUAUCAGAGUAAAAACAUCCCAGGCUAACAUAAUGGUGUGUGCACUAUAGUCAUCCCAAGCUCUUCCCUUACUACCAGAAGUACUUGAAAACAAAAUUGAAAACUAUAAGCACGAAGCUUAGUGAGUCUCCCCAAACUACAACAUACCAUACACAUAAUCACAUAAUCACAUAAUAACAUAUUAUGGGCCCCGCCCGCUUCAUCGGGUCCCGCCCGACAUCGGACAAUGUCCGACAUCGGGCCCUGCCCGACAUCGGACAAAAAUCCAGCAUCGGGCCCCGCCCGGCAUCGAGCAAAGCUCGGUAUACAUAUAAACAUAUCAAAAAAAUACACAUAAACAAUCACCUAACAUAAACAUAGAAACAUUCCUCGGGCCCCGCCUGACAUCAGACCGAAAUCCGGCAUUGGGUCCCGCUCGACAUCGAGCAAAGCUCGGUAUACAUAUAAACAUAUCAAAAAAUCCACAUAAAUAAUCACAUAACAUAAACAUAUAAACAUUCCUCAGGCCACACCCGUCAUCGAGCAAAACUCUGUAUACAUAUAAACAUAUCACCAAAUACACAUAAAUAAUCACAUAACAUAAACAUAUAAACAUUCCUCGGGCCCCGACCGACAUCGAACCGAAAUCCGGUAGCAUACAAACAUUCCUCGAGCAUUUCCCGACAUUGUACCAUGAUCCGAAAACAUACAAAAUAGACACAUGCAAAAAUCACGAAGACAUCAAGCAUACAAACAUUCCUCGGGCACCGCCCGACAUCGGAUCGAAACCUGGAAACAUAUAAACCUACAUCGGGCAUUGGCCGACAUCAGACCUUGGACCAGAACAUACUAGCAUACAUAUACGGGCCGAAAUUGGUGCCUUCGACCCGUUCAUACAGGAGGAAACUCACCUCACACUGCUGAAGUCCCGCGAAUAAAUAUCUGGUUGCUGGCUGACAGGUCCCCAAACUAUCAACAUCAAAACAAAGCCCAAUUAACCAUUUGGGUUUCAAUGCAUAACCAUAAACCCACACUUGGGGUAAAAUGACCAUUUUACCCCUAACCUAUCUUGGUCCAAGACCAAGACCCAAACUCAUACUCUGAAGGCCCAACAACCAAAUAAACAACCAAUGCCCAAUUAUGGCCUAAUUUUCCAAAUUGGGCCCAAACCCCUCACAUGGGCCUUACCCCAAAGCCCAUCCAAAU
rnacentral:lncRNA from 1 species